AAGUCGUAACAAGGUUUCCGUAGGUGAACCUGCGGAAGGAUCAUUAACAAAUCAUGUUGGUGUCGGUGAGCUCUCGAGCUCAUCGACCCAUAUUAACCCGAACCUGUGCAGCAAUGCCAGGCAAGGUGUACUGCAUUUUUAUUAAUGCAGUGCGGUGAAGAUCAAUGUCUGAAAGGAUAGCGAUCCGAUCCACAUAGACGCUUGUAUGUUUGACAGAGUUAGUUGACACUUAAAAAUGACAACUUUUAACAAUGGAUCUCUUGGCUCUU
rnacentral:misc_RNA from 1 species